rnacentral:tRNA from 1 species
AGCUAGUUAGUUAAGUAGUAUAAUUCUAGACUAUAGAAGUUACCCCUAAGUAGAUAUCCGCUAAGCGUUCCCGCGCUCUUAGGCUCUAUCUAAUAAUUAGGGUAUACGAUAGGAAUCUAGAGGUAUAGGUUUAAUUCCUAUACUAGCUA